CUUACUAAUGCGAAUCUCAUCCAAUACUCAACCCAUAAAUCCUACCCGUCAACUCAAAAGAAAAUACUGCAGAGAUUUGUUAACCUAAAGUAACAUAUCACGUUGGGUUCCAGCAAUGAUUGGCCUCCUUCCUCAUAUCAUUCACAGUUAAAAUGUAUAUAAAUUAUUGUAUUUAAAAUUAUCAAAUUUGCUUAUUGUGAUAUAAUUAUAGUAUUAUUGAAUACAGAUUGAUACAUUCUUUUUUUGAAAGAGAAUUUGAUUGGGAAUAAGAUACUUUAGGGAG